UCCACCAUUUUGAAACAUUUCAAACGAGCCAGAGCAUUGCAUUCAGCUGUCGGUCGAAGAGAACAGAUGCCGUGAUGACCAACUUCCCAGCAGCAACAGAGUUUUAUAUUUUAUUAUCUUAAGUUGUUGAUGUU